rnacentral:rRNA from 1 species
AUUGAACGCUGGCGGAAUGCUUUACACAUGCAAGUCGAACGGUAGAGGGGGCAACCCCUCGAGAGUGGCGAACGGGUGAGUAAUAUAUCGGAACGUGCCCAGUCGUGGGGGAUAACGUAGCGAAAGUUACGCUAAUACCGCAUACGAUCUAAGGAUGAAAGCGGGGGAUCGCAAGACCUCGCGCGAUUGGAGCGGCCGAUAUCAGAUUAGGUAGUUGGUGGGGUAAAGGCUCACCAAGCCAACGAUCUGUAGCUGGUCUGAGAGGACGACCAGCCACACUGGGACUGAGACACGGCCCAGACUCCUACGGGAGGCAGCAGUGGGGAAUUUUGGACAAUGGGCGCAAGCCUGAUCCAGCCAUUCCGCGUGCAGGAAGAAGGCCUUCGGGUUGUAAACUGCUUUUGUACGGAACGAAACGCGCUGAGCUAAUACCUCGGCGUAAUGACGGUACCGUAAGAAUAAGCACCGGCUAACUACGUGCCAGCAGCCGCAGUAA